rnacentral:lncRNA from 1 species
GACAGGAAGUGGUGCAUAUGCCCAGGGACAAAGCCAAGUUGAGGAGCAGAACCACAGUAGCUUGAGGAAGGAAUAGGUGAGAGAUGCUGUUACGAACUUCCCUUAGAAUCAACCCAUUUGUGAAACACCACAUUAAUAAGAGCAGUAUCUUUGGAGAUUGGAGAGUCCACCAAGGAUGCCCACUGGCUCCCUACAAAGUUUUUUAUGUGAGGACUCGGUCUCAGAUAUGGCUACUGGGAUUCUGUUCAAACUGAGUGAAGACAUCAUCAUCUUUCUUUGAGAUCUUCCUUGCUUUCUGGCCAAAGAAGUUAUUCCCUGACCCGACUUUCCAAAGAGUACUAGUUCCUUUUAGCAGUGAUUAGAAACCUGAUCUGAGUACUACUGUGUGUGCUUGUGACUAGUGUGGUUUUAUUGUUUCUAUGUCCUUUCAGCGAGCAGAUCUACAAUGAGGGAUACAUCUAAACAAAACUCCAUAUUAAUAAGUCCAGUUGAAAUCUAACAACAUAGGGUUCUUUCGCAUUCUCUUGCAUUCCAUAUUUGUAUAUUCGUUCACCCAUGGUGGCAACCCUGGCUAUUAGAAAUAUAAUUGUAUUUAUUUUGCUGUAUCCUACAAUAAAACAAAAAAAUUAAGAAUUACUAUACCAACAUCAUGAUAAAAAUACACAUACUAAGUAAAUCUGUUAUGUAAACUACAAGUGUGUUUGUAGCAUUUUUGUUUUUACACUAUAGCCUACUAAGUGUGCAAUUAGACUUCUUGCUCACUGGUUUCUGUUUACUUUUAAUUUUAGUAUUUACUCUUGUUUCCC